rnacentral:lncRNA from 1 species
CUGAGAUUUGCAAAACAAAAAUGUAUGGUUUUUGAUUGUCUGAUAAAUUAAAAAGUCAAAUUGUCAAAAUGCAUCUGGUAAACGUGUUAGUUUAUAAAGCAAUGAAUGGUGAUUGGUUGCAAUGUCUAGGAGGGAUGUUCUCCUCUUCCCCUUAUUUAGUUUCCUAAUGAGUAACUGAUAUCUGAUUGGUUGGUGAGUUCAUACAGGCUUGAUAAAGAAUCAAUAUUACAUCAAGAAAUGAAUUGCACACUGCCUUCUGGCGAUUUCCUCCGAUCUGUAAGCAUGGCUAACAGACACUUUAAGAGAGCGAAAAAAACAAAAAAGGCUAUCAUGAAAAAGGCCUUCUAUCAGAAAA